UACGGGGGGGAGCAAGCGUUGUUCGGAUUUACUGGGCGUAAAGGGCGCGUAGGCGGUCAGCACAAGUCAGUUGUGAAAUCUCCGGGCUUAACUCGGAAAGGUCAACUGAUACUGUGCGACUAGAGUGCGGAAGGGGCAACUGGAAUUCUCGGUGUAGCGGUGAAAUGCGUAGAUAUCGAGAGGAACACCUGCGGCGAAGGCGGGUUGCUGGGCCGACACUGACGCUGAUGCGCGAAAGCCAGGGGAGCAAACGGG
rnacentral:rRNA from 1 species